GAUGAACGCUGGCGGUAUGCUUAACACAUGCAAGUCGAACGGACUCUUCGGAGUUAGUGGCGGACGGGUGCGUAACGCGUGAGAAUCUGGCUUUGGGUUCGGGACAACCACUGGAAACGGUGGCUAAUACCGGAUGUGCCGAGAGGUAAAAGAGAAAUUGCCUGAAGAUGAGCUCGCGUCUGAUUAGCUAGUUGGUGAGGUAAAGGCUCACCAAGGCAGCGAUCAGUAGCUGGUCUGAGAGGAUGACCAGCCACACUGGGACUGAGACACGGCCCAGACUACUACGGGAGGAAGCAGUGGGGAAUUUUCCGCAAUGGGCGAAAGCCUGACGGAGCAAUACCGCGUGAGGGAAGAAGGCUCUUGGGGUGUAAACCUCUUUUCUUAGGGAAGAACAAAAUGACGGUACCUAAGGAAUCAGCAUCGGCUAACUCCGUG
rnacentral:rRNA from 1 species